GUUGAACGCUGGCGGCAGGCCUAACACAUGCAAGUCGAGCGGAUGAAGGGAGCUUGCUCCUGGAUUCAGCGGCGGACGGGUGAGUAAUGCCUAGGAAUCUGCCUGGUAGUGGGGGAUAACGUCCGGAACCGGGCGCUAAUACCGCAUACGUCCUGAGGGAGAAAGUGGGGGAUCUUCGGACCUCACGCUAUCAGAUGAGCCUAGGUCGGAUUAGCUAGUUGGUGGGGUAAAGGCCUACCAAGGCGACGAUCCGUAACUGGUCUGAGAGGAUGAUCAGUCACACUGGAGCUGAGACACGGUCCUGACUCCGACGGGAGGCAGAAGUGGGGAAUAGUGGACGAUGGGCGAAAGCCUGAUCCAGCCAUGCCGCGUGUGUGAAGAAGGGCUUCGGAUUGUAAAGCACUUUAAGUUGGGAGGAAGGGCAGUAAGUUAAUACCUUGCUGUUUUGACGUUACCAACAGAAGAAGCACCGGCUAACUUCGUG
rnacentral:rRNA from 1 species